rnacentral:ribozyme from 1 species
GGUAUAUGAUUGUACCGAUCCAGAAUCUUUUCAAAAUGUCAAACAAUGGAUGGGUGAAAUCGAUCGGUACGCGUGUGAGAAUGUGAAUAAGUUGUUGGUUGGUAAUAAGUGCGACCUGCGCGACGAGAAGCGCGUCGAUUCGCGAGUAGCGCAAGAAUUUGCCGACCAGGUCGAAGUGCCGUUUAUUGAGACAAGUGCGAAAACCGCACAAAACGUCGAAGAGACGUUUGUACUGAUGGCACGAG